CCGCGCACUACGGCUGAAAAUGGGGUGACAAGCGCAUCGGCUUGUUUAAGGUCAAGAAUUGCGGUUAUAUACGAU
rnacentral:sRNA from 12 species